CCUAGGGUUGCUGGAGCUCUGAGAAUCAGGUGGAGCUGCUUCUCCUUCUCUCUCUAGGGUUUGUUUCUCUCUCUACAAAGAAAGCAAGGGUUAAGUUGGUUUCUUUUUCCUUGCUUGAUAAUCAGCUAAUUGGGAGUGAUUGAGAACUGGUAUUGAAGGAAAAAGGAGGAGCUUUAAGGAGUGUUCGCAGCCUGGAGCUUAGUAAUAACUCGGUUGAUCCUUUAGCAAGCUGAAGUAGAAAAGGCUUUAGCCACUGCAAAUCAGAGAUGGAUGUGAGUUCUCAGCUUCAAUCCUUAUAAGAAGCUGAGCUAAAGUUUCGAAAAUCAGCUCAGAAGCUUAUUUUAGGCUGAGUAUAGGGACCCUGGGAGCUGAUUUGGAUACACUAGAACCUUGUUUGCAGCAGACUUGCGAAAGGUGGUUGAUUGUUCUCGGCUGAUAUUUAGAAGCUUUUGAGGGUUAACUUGAGUACGUUCACCUGGACCAAAACAGGAAUUUAAUUAUAGCCUGUACUAGCAGGAUAUUGAACCAUUUCGGUUGGGAAUUGUGAGCUGUCAGGAUCAGUUUUAAUGUAUUCCAACCUGAAUUGAAGAACAAUUCAAGUGUGGAUAUUUCUAAGGCAUUUGACGGAUUUGGAUUACCUUCAAUUGCGGAAGCCUCGACAUAUUGAGCCUUCCACAGCGGGAAAGGCUAGUGUUCCUG